UACGGAGGGUGCAAGCGUUAUCCGGAUUCACUGGGCUUAAAGGGUGCGUAGGCGGGCAGGUAAGUCAGGGGUGAAAUCUCCGGGCUUAACCCGGAAACUGCCGUUGAUACUAUCUGUCUUGAAUAUCGUGGAGGUAAGCGGAAUAUGUCAUGUAGCGGUGAAAUGCUUAGAUAUGACAUAGAACACCCAUUGCGAAGGCAGCUUACUACACGAUCAUUGACGCUGAGGCACGAAAGCGUGGGGAGCAAACAGG
rnacentral:rRNA from 1 species